rnacentral:rRNA from 1 species
GACGAACGCUGGCGGCGUGCUUAACACAUGCAAGUCGAACGGAAAGGCCUGCUUUCCCUUGUGGAUUGCGGGUGCUCGAGUGGCGAACGGGUGAGUAACACGUGAGUGAUCUGCCCCCAACUUGGGUAUAAGCCUGGGAAACUGGGUCUAAUUCCCGAUAGGACUGCAGGGUGGUGCCUGUGGUGGAAAACGAUUUUCUAGUGGUUGGGGAUGAGCUCGCGGCCUAUCAGCUUGUUGGUGGGGUAAUGGCCUACCAAGGCGGCGACGGGUAGCCGGCCUGGGAGGGUGGACGGCGCCAUUGGGACUGGGAUACUGCCCAGACUCCUACGCGAGGCAGCAGUGGGGAAUAUUGAACAAUGGGCGGACGCCUGAUGCAGCGACGCCGAGUGGGGGAUGACGGCCUUCGGGUUGUAAACUCCUUUCGACCGCGAGGAAGCCACCUGGUUGGAAGGGUGGUGACGGUAGUGGUAGAAGAAGCACCGGCUAACUACGUG